rnacentral:rRNA from 1 species
ACGAACGCUGGCGGCGUGCUUAGCACAUGCAAGUCGAACGGUGAAGCGCCUUCCUUUUUGGUGGGUGUGGAUGAGUGGCGAACGGGUGAGUAACACGUGAGUAACCUGCCCCCUUCUUCUGGAUAACCGCAUGAAAGUGUGGCUAAUACGGGAUAUUCUGGGUCUGUCGCAUGAUGGGUCUGGGAAAGAUAUUGUUUCGGUGGGGGAUGGGCUCGCGGCCUAUCAGCUUGUUGGUGGGGUGAUGGCCUACCAAGGCGGUGACGGGUAGCCGGCCUGAGAGGGUGGACGGUCACACUGGGACUGAGACACGGCCCAGACUCCUACGGGAGGCAGCAGUGGGGAAUAUUGCACAAUGGGCGCAAGCCUGAUGCAGCGACGCCGCGUGAGGGAUGGAGGCCUUCGGGUUGUGAACCUCUUUCGCCAGUGAAGCAGGCCUGCCUCGUUUGUGGGUGGGUUGACGGUAGCUGGAUAAGAAGCGCCGGCUAACUACGUG